GAUGAACGCUGGCGGCGUGCCUAAUACAUGCAAGUCGAGCGAACAGACGAGGAGCUUGCUCCUCUGACGUUAGCGGCGGACGGGUGAGUAACACGUGGAUAACCUACCUAUAAGACUGGGAUAACUUCGGGAAACCGGAGCUAAUGCCGGAUAACAUGUUGAACCGCAUGGUUCAACAGUGAAAGACGGUUUUGCUGUCACUUAUAGAUGGAUCCGCGUCGCAUUAGCUAGUUGGUAAGGUAACGGCUUACCAAGGCAACGAUGCGUAGCCGACCUGAGAGGGUGAUCGGCCACACUGGAACUGAGACACGGUCCAGACUCCUACGGGAGGCAGCAGUAGGGAAUCUUCCGCAAUGGGCGAAAGCCUGACGGAGCAACGCCGCGUGAGUGAAGAAGGUCUUCGGAUCGUAAAACUCUGUUAUUAGGGAAGAACAAAUGUGUAAGUAACUAUGCACGUCUUGACGGUACCUAAGCAGAAAGCCACGGCUAACUACGU
rnacentral:rRNA from 1 species